UACGUAGGGUGCGAGCGUUGUCCGGAAUUAUUGGGCGUAAAGGGCUCGUAGGCGGUUUGUCGCGUCGGGAGUGAAAUCCACUGGCUUAACUGGUGGCUUGCUUUCGAUACGGGCAGACUGGAGGUAUGCAGGGGAGAGCGGAAUUCCUGGUGUAGCGGUGGAAUGCGCAGAUAUCAGGAAGAACACCCGUGGCGAAGGCGGCUCUCUGGGACGGUACUGACGCUGAGACGCGAAAGCGUGGGGAGCGAACAGG
rnacentral:rRNA from 1 species